rnacentral:rRNA from 1 species
CCGAAACUGAAUCAUCGCAGACAAGAGACGCGCACAGUCCGAGACUACACGGCUGCUAACUGAACAGACGCGUCGCAACGAAACGCCGCACCGUUAAGGCGGAAACGUGACGUAAUACGACGAACGUCUUGCGUCGGGCCGGACGCGUACGAGACGCGUGCGCGAUUCUCACUAUAAAUCCAUAUAUACCGUCCGACGGCCGGACGGCGACCGCCUCCGGUCUGACGGAUUGACGCGUGAACGCCUAUCCGCCGGACUCCCGGUACGGCGCUUAGACCGACGUCGAACGGGUCGCGAUGCCUAUGUAUACUGAGAGAGAAGUGCACGACGUCCGACGGACGUGAACGCACGCGACCCGUGUCCGUCGCGGACGGACCCGCGAAGGCCCGCCACGAACGGGCGUCGAGGCACACGUGCGUACGCCGCGGAAUAUCGAUGAAUCUCUCCGUUCUUUCAUUCGAGUUCGCAGGUUUACCCGUGAACGGUUUCACGUACUCUU